rnacentral:sRNA from 1 species
CUGAAGAAGCAUCUGUAGGCAAUCCAGAAGGAGCGUUCAUGAAGAUGUUACAAGCCCGGAAGCAGCACAUGAGCACUGAGCUGACUAUUGAGUCGGAGGCGCCCUCAGACAGCAGUGGCAUCAACUUGUCAGGCUUUGGGAGUGAGUAGCUAGACACCAAUGACGAGAGUGAUGUGAUCAGCUUGAAAUUCAGCUAACCGAGCAGCUACGGUCCCUCAUCCCCAACGAGGAUGUGAGAAAGUUCAUGUCUCAUGUUAUCCGGACCUUGAAAAUGGAAUGUUCAGAAACACAUGUGCAAGGGAGCUGUGCCAAGCUCAUGUUGCAAACAGGCCUCCUGAUGAAGCUUCUCAGCGAGCAGCAGGAAGCAAAGGCAUUGAAUGUAGAAUGGGAUACGGACCAACAAAAAACAAAUUAUAUUAAUGAGAACAUGGAACAGAAUGAACAGAAAGAGCAGAAGUCAAGUGAGCUCAUGAAAGAAGUUCCAGGAUAUGACUAUAAGAACAAACUCAUCUUCGCAAUAUCUGUGACUGUAAUACUAAUAAUUUUGAUUAUAAUUUUUUGUCUUAUAGAGGUAAGGACAAUAAUUAAUUCAGGUUUUCAGAAUACAAUCCUGUGUUUGUGUGGAUUCAGAAUCCACAAACUGAAAACCAAUGUCACUUUCCCACUUGACAUUCUUCUUCUGUCAUUUAAGGCUGAGGUGUGCUUUGUUCUUUUACUGCAAUGUAUAUUCCAGGAUUUUUAAAGGAUCCUCGCUUCCAGGAGGUCUCUGUGAAAUAAAACCAAGUUAAUCCCACUA